GUACUCGAAUUGUAACUAUCCUAUGUAUUUAUGACUGGUUCAAAAGAGAGAAAAAAAUCGUCAAGGUAGUGGAUCUCGACAGGGUCGACAUGAGAACACAUGUGCAAUCAACGAUUGUAAUGAUGCCACGUCAUUAUUAUGUUACAUCUCUCGUUUUUCAUGUGUUCUCAGGUCACCCCUGCUGAGCUCUUUCUCUACCGUCCAAACAGCCAAACUUAUCAACGUCGGUGACUUCAUUCAUUCACCAAAUUAAUGGGAUGAGAGACUGACAAAGAAACAGAACUAGGCAAAAAGAAACCAAAACAAUGAUCGAGUUGAUCAAAAUGUUUGUGAUGUUAUCUAUUUUUUUUCUUUGUUUUUCUUCUUCUUUGACGUCAACACUACUACACUAGGAGUUGAUUUGUUACAGUCACUUAGUCUAAGUAUUACCCUCCAAUAUAUUCAAAGAUAUGCAAACUAACUCUGGUUUGUUUUGCAAUAGCGUCA